CGCCGACUGGAGGUUCUGUAAAUUGCGAUAGCGAUACCGCAGACAUUGGAACGAAAUGUGACUUCGUUUGCAAACCAGACUCUCAGCUCGAAGGACCCGAGGACGCAGUCUGUGAAGAAGAUGGAAAGGGAGGUGCAAGAUGGAGCCAAGAAGCCAAGAAAUGUGUCAAAAAAUGCAAAAAGCCUCCUCCGCCAAACUACGGUACCGUAAAAUGCAGUAACUUGGACAACAAACUAAUCGUCGGUUCAUCUUGCACAUUCAAAUGCAACGAAGGAUAUCAAGUUGUUGGGAAAACAGAAACCGAGUGCGAAAGAGACGGAACAUGGUCAGAAAAGGCACCAAAAUGCGAACCUCUUUGCAAGCCACACCCACCACCAGGACCAAUCAAUGGCGAAGUUGAAUGCAACAACGAAAAAGCAAUAAUCGGAACUCGUUGUGAUUUUGCUUGUAAGGUUGGAUACUCGCUCCAGGGAUCAGAGAAAACAAUCUGCA